UCGUGGUUGAGCGGUAAAAACACUUGAUUCUCACCCUGGAGUCCCGGGUUCGAUUCCCGGUUGAAGAG